AUCAAUGACUAUGGUUCGGCGGGGCGCAUGGACACGAAUGAUAGCUUACGAUUGGCGAGCUUGUGGCACUCGAUGCACGCAAUCUCACAGCAGCUAUCGCCGCUCGUCAGUUGCACCGGCAUCGAACUCCUUAAAGCCGAUAAUUUUGAUCUCCACUGCUUCUAGUCUCUCACUGGGAACCCAGAGAGACCGACAGGUCAAGGCCGCCGCUGAGUGAGUUGAGCUUCCCUAUUAGAAGGGAAACCUAGAGAGACCGGCUGGUCAGGGGCGCCACUGAGUGAGUUGAGCUUCCCUACUAGAAGGGCUGCUAAACGAGAUGAAGAUGGUACUGAGGAAGGUCACCGGAAACCCCACAAAUUAUUUCCUGGUGUGCUCUGAAAAGACAAUGUGAACUGGGUUUCUUGAAGUGGGGGUUUCAAAAGCCCAGAUCCUUAUGGCUCUACUAGGCUUGGCAUUGCAUUUGAUGAUGAAGGAAAAGCUCACAAAGACUACUACUUGGGGUUCAAAUGCUUGGUUAAGAAGCACCUGAGAUGGUGAUGAAGAUGAGGAUGCAUAAAGCUAGUAAACGAAGAGGUCCCAUCUGAUUUGUCCAGGAGCAAAGUAGCCCAGUUAAAAGAAAGUCAUGCAGCAAAAGAAACAUAUGUUGGGGCAGGGGAGGGGUAACCUUUUUCUUUUCUUUUUUCUCUGUAGAGAGGAAAUUCAAGCAGUGAGGAAAAUUUUCUUCUGGUAAACUUGUGCAGUGAUGCAAUACUAGUAGCCUUUUUCUGUUGGCAGCCCUUGUAUGUGAUGGAAACUGGAGUCAACCGCAUUUCGUGGGAUGGCUGGGUACACCAGUUUGAUCUGUGCAUGUUUCUUAUUAGUACUUUCGGGGUAUUUCCCUAUUCUUCAAAAGGUUCUAUCCUUCUACGCUCCAAUCUCAAUUCUGUGGAAAGCUUUCAACGGUUUCCUCAUGAAACAUCAGUGUGCAUAUGGUUACUCGUCUCUUUAUUCUUCUCCAUAUACUGCUAUAUGGAACCUUUUGCAGCAUCAUAAUGUAGUAAAAGUUGUGGUGGGUCCAAGUCCCUCAGCUAUUUAAUUGAUAUCCAAUUGAAUUCUUAACAUGGCAAGAGAGGUGGCUGCUUGCGUGAUGGUGUUAAUGCGUAAAGCUCUUCAGUUUUAGGAUGAUCUGUGUUCCACGAAGGAUGAGGACCUCCCAAUGUUCUUCCAAUUUGAACAAAUGUUUGAUUCUGAGGUAGUCAAGUCAAAUGUGUUCGUUGUUGUUUGUUUUGACUAUGAUGAUAUUCUUCAAUUUUCUAUUCAACAUUUGUCUUUUCAAUCUGUGUAAAGUAAUUUUGUCUUGUGAUUGUUUUAUACAGUUUUUACUGCUUACCAAUUUUGCAAAUCAGCUAGACCUUGUUCAUCCUCC